rnacentral:rRNA from 1 species
GACGAAGGGGGCUAGCGUUGUUCGGAAUUACUGGGCGUAAAGCGCGUGUAGGCGGUUGCCAACGUCGGGUGUGAAAGCCUUGAGCUCAACUCAAGAAAUGCACUCGAUACUUGGUGACUAGAGGACCGGAGAGGAUAGUGGAAUUCCCAGUGUAGUGGUGAAAUACGUAGAGAUUGGGAAGAACACCAGUGGCGAAGGCGGCUAUCUGGACGGUUUCUGACGCUAAGACGCGAAAGCGUGGGGAGCAAACAGG